GACGAACGCUGGCGGCGUGCUUAACACAUGCAAGUCGAACGGUGAAGCGCCUUCCUUUUUGGUGGGUGUGGAUGAGUGGCGAACGGGUGAGUAACACGUGAGUAACCUGCCCCCUUCUUCUGGAUAACCGCAUGAAAGUGUGGCUAAUACGGGAUAUUCUGGGUCUGUCGCAUGAUGGGUCUGGGAAAGAUAUUGUUUCGGUGGGGGAUGGGCUCGCGGCCUAUCAGCUUGUUGGUGGGGUGAUGGCCUACCAAGGCGGUGACGGGUAGCCGGCCUGAGAGGGUGGACGGUCACACUGGGACUGAGGCACGGCCAAGACUCCUACGGGAGGCAGCAGUGGGGAAUAUUGCACAAUGGGCGCAAGCCUGAUGCAGCGACGCCGCGUGAGGGAUGGAGGCCUUCGGGUUGUGAACCUCUUUCGCCAGUGAAGCAGGCCUGCCUCGUUUGUGGGUGGGUUGACGGUAGCUGGAUAAGAAGCGCCGGCUAACUACGUG
rnacentral:rRNA from 1 species